AGUGCAAUUCCUAGAUCAUACAGUAAGUGUCGCUUAGCUUUGUAAGAAACUGCCCAACUCUCUUUAAAAGUGACUGUACCAUUUUGCAGUCACACCAGCAAU
rnacentral:pre_miRNA from 1 species